rnacentral:ncRNA from 1 species
AAGGAUAGAGGUGCGGUUUGUAUGAGUACCGCCGGUCCGGCCGCCACAGGCCGAUGGGCCGCGCGGAAAAGGACACACCGCCGAAGAUCCCGCCUUGUGGCGCGCGGGAAUCUGGUUGCUCCGGCGAAAGCCCUGCAACUGUCAUCUGUUUUAUGAUGGAGUGCUAUCGGU